rnacentral:lncRNA from 1 species
AUCCAUCACUUCCAAUCCUCAAUCCAAUCCAUCAAUUAUCAUAUUAAUCAUCUCAUAAGCUCAUACCCAUCAUCAAUUUAUCAUUCAAACCAUAGACUCAAAAAUUCCCAAUUUUAGGUAAACUAACCUAAGUAAAAAUUUACAUCACAUGACAUAGCUUUUCAACACACAUAUCAAUCAUCUCAAAACACCUUGGUAAGCAUAAAUCUCAUCCCAAAUUGAGA